rnacentral:rRNA from 1 species
GACGAACGCUGGCGGCGUGCUUAACACAUGCAAGUCGAACGGAAAGGCCCUGCUUUUGUGGGGUGCUCUAGUGGCGAACGGUUGAGUAACACGUUAGUAACCUUCCCUUGACUUUGGGAUAACUUCAGGAAACUGGGGCUAAUACCGGAUAGGAGCUCCUGCUGCAUGGUGGGGGUUGGAAAGUUUCGGCGGUUGGGGAUGGACUCGCGGCUUAUCAGCUUGUUGGUGGGGUAGUGGCUUACCAAGGCUUUGACGGGUAGCCGGCCUGAGAGGGUGACCGGAAACAUUGGGACUGAGAAACGGCCAAGACUCAUACGGGAGGGAGCAGUGGAGAAUAUUGAAAGAUGGACGGAAGCCUGAUGAAGCAAAGACGCGUGCGGGAUGACGGCCUUCGGGUUGUAAAACGCUUUCGACUGUGAAGAAGAGUGAGUGAAGGUAAUGGGUAAAGAAGCACCGGAAAACUACGUG